rnacentral:rRNA from 1 species
UACGUAGGGGGCGAGCGUUGUCCGAAGUUACUGGGCGUAAAGCGCGCGCAGGCGGUCCUUUAAGUCUGAUGUGAAAGCCCACGGCUCAACCGUGGAAGGUCAUUGGAAACUGGAGGACUUGAGUACAGAAGAGGAAAGCGGAAUUCCACGUGUAGCGGUGAAAUGCGUAGAGAUGUGGAGGAACACCAGUGGCGAAGGCAGCUCUCUGGUCCUAUACUGACGCUGAGGUGCGAAAGCGUGGGGAGCGAACGGG